GAUGAACGCUGGCGGCGUGCCUAAUACAUGCAAGUCGAGCGAACAGAUGAGGAGCUUGCUCCUCUGACGUUAGCGGCGGACGGGUGAGUAACACGUGGAUAACCUACCUAUAAGACUGGGAUAACUUCGGGAAACCGGAGCUAAUACCGGAUAAUAUAUUGAACCGCAUGGUUCAAUAGUGAAAGACGGUUUUGCUGUCACUUAUAGAUGGAUCCGCGCCGCAUUAGCUAGUUGGUAAGGUAACGGCUUACCAAGGCAACGAUGCGUAGCCGACCUGAGAGGUGGACCGGCCAACCGGGAACGGAGCACGGGUCCAAACCCCUACGGGAGCCAGCAGUGGGAAAUCUUCCGCAAGGGCCGAAGCCUGACGGAGCAACGCCGCGUGAGUGAUGAAGGUCUUCGGAUCGUAAAACUCUGUUAUUAGGGAAGAACAAAUGUGUAAGUAACUAUGCACGUCUUGACGGUACCUAAUCAGAAAGCCACGGCUAACUACGUG
rnacentral:rRNA from 1 species